GAUGAACGCUGGCGGCGUGCUUAACACAUGCAAGUCGAACGGAAAGGCCCUGCUUUUGUUGGGUUCUCGAGUGGCGAACGGGUGAGUAACACGUGAGUAACCUGCCCUUGUCUUUGGGAUAACUUCAGGAAACUGGGGCUAAUACCGGAUAUGAUCUCCUGCUGCAUGGUGGGGGUUGGAAAGUUUCGGCCGUUGGGGAUGGACUGGCUGGUUCUCAGCUUGUUUGGGGGGUAGGUGCUUACCAAGGCUUUGACGGGUAGCAGGCCUGGGCGGGUGACCGGCGACAAUGGGCCUAAGGGAGGGCGCAGUCGGGUAUGGGAGGCAGCAGGGGAGAACAUGGCGGAGUAGGCCGGAGCCAGAGGUAGCAACGCCGGGUUCGGAAAGACGGCCUAUUGGUUGUGAACAGCUUUCGCCGUUGAUAAAGCGGGAGUGACGGUAACGGGUAAAAAAGCAACGGCUAACUACGUG
rnacentral:rRNA from 1 species